AUGAAGAGGCUGCUGUGCUCUCUGCUGGGGCUUCUGUGCACCCAGGUUUGCUGGGUGAAAGGGCAGCAAGUGGAGCAGAGACCUGCGACCUUGGUAAUGCAGGAGGGUGAGAGUGCAACACUGCAGUGCAACUUUUCCACCUCUGCAAACCGAAUGCAGUGGUUUUACCAAAGUCCUGGAGGACACCUCAUCAGCCUGUUUUACAUUCCUUCUGAAACAAAGCAGAGUGGAAGACUGACAUCCAAGACAGCCCCUGUGGAGCAUCGCAGCUCUUUGUACAUUUCCUCCUCCCAGAGCACAGACUCAGGCACUUAUCUCUGUGCUGGGGUACACAGUGCUCCCCACACACCUGCAGCCUGUACACAAACAUUCUGCUGGAGUGAAGUGGUUUUAGGCAAGAUAGAGAGAUACGGAAUCAUGAUGAUGCAUGGAGGAAAUGGUAGAAGGGAAGGAUAG